UUUUUUUCAUGCAUUCUUUAAAUUCAUAAUAAGGGAAAUAGUUACUAGAUACAUCCAGAUAUGUUUUAUAUACUCUUGGAAAGCCAUCUAAGAUUUUUUUUUUUGAUAGUUAUUGUAACAGCAGAGAUUUUCUAGAUGAGAAUAAAAAUCCUAGAAAGAAGAAAGCAGAUAUAUAAAAUUGUUUCAUAUAUGAUACAUAUGAGAAAGGCCAUUUUAAAGAAAUCUAAUUGACCAAACAGAUGAACUCAGAUUGAAAGUAUUUAUAAAGGCUAACAGAGCAGCAUAUAACCAAGAAUAAAUAUAUAUUAGAAAACUAGAAACAAUAAUUGCUCAAUAUCAUCUGCACUGAAUUAUUUUUCCAUCUUAAGUUUUAAGACUUAGAAAGUACUGAAAGUUUUUUAAAUGUUAGAGACC
rnacentral:lncRNA from 1 species